rnacentral:tRNA from 1 species
GGCACUAUGGCCGAGUGGUU